CCCUCUUUGUGUUCAAACCUCAGGCAACCUUCAAAGCCAAUUGAAAGGCAGAGAGAGCUCAGUAAAUUACUCGUGCCCUCACUGACCUCCCCCCAUCUCUGAAUCCCUAUAGCAUUAGGAGCGAGGAAUUCUGAACUUAUAAUGUUGAUUCUCCUCUAAUCCAAUAUAAUACCACCUGGUAAUUGUAUAGAGCUUGCAUGUACUAUUGCAUUUGGUCCUUACAACCUGGCAAAAUAAAGCAGACUGUUUGUUGUAAUCCCCGUUUUGCAGACUUCUGAGAAGCAGAGUCUCAGAAACCCACACAAAAUCAUGUAGCUAAGUGGAAUGGUUCAGGCCGAGACUGAACAGACUUUCUGCCGCACCAAAAGGGAGACUUCUUCUCCAGAAGAACUGCAACAUCCUUGCAGAGGUAAAAGAAACAUAAGAUACAGCAUCUACUAUGUAUAGACACUAGCAUGGGGCUUUUUCAAAAACAAUGAGGGUGGACUGAUUUAUAGAGGAGGUGAAACCGCCCCAGGAAAAUUUAACGUGUUUGCCGAGUGGUCUGGGAAAAUUCAGAGGGAGCUGACCUGUCCAACUUGUGUCUAACCCUGCUCUGUAAAGACGGUCAUACGGGACAUUACUAACCCCCAGGAGUGCUUCCGGGGCCCCUGAGGAACUAGUGGCAUCAUGGAGCAUGACCCCGUCUGCUGAAACACCGAGAAAGAUCUGGUACACGUUCUUCUGACAUCUGGCAUAGAAAACAAUUUUACCUUUAUAUUACACAAGAAAAUAGCCGUGUCUUCGCUCUGUCUUUGGCUGACAGCUGAGGCGUGGACGUUUUCGUCGAUUUCCCCUCAUUGUAAAAAUAAAAGUUCUGUGAGAGAUCCAGGAUGCCCCCAGAAGCUGAAGUCUUAAGAUUCUCUCCUUUGUCUCCAUAAAUGGAUCCAUUUAACCCUCCUCUAUGUUGGGUUUCAGAAAGCCUUUCAUUUUAUCUGGAAGCACUGUGUUUUUCUGAGAAAAAGGAGUGAUCCCUUUACUGAAGAACCCCAAAGAGGAGAAUCAGUUUCCUUCACCAAACCCCCAGAUGAAGGAAAGCUCUGGCAAAGUAAGAGCAUGUUCUCGUGCUGGUCAGGAUCACCUGCUCUGCAUAGGUCUACACUGUAAUUCCAUCUAAGCUCCUUUCAAAAAGGGAAAUGCUUCCAUUCAAAGGGCCUUUGUUCCAGUUACCAAAAGAACAUGUUAUGAAAUUCUAAGCAAAGUCUAUUUCUGUAGGGCAAAUAGGAUAUGUUUAACAGAAUAAGGGAAAAAACAUUGUGGAAAGAACCUCAAUCUACUGAGCCCCUGGAUAGGAGGAAAUCAGGAUUCAUGAGGAAAAAUAAAACACAAGAUAUGAAGCUUACAAUUCUGUGUCACUAUGACUUCUUAGUGCAGAGUUUUAAUCUAAGAGGCUCUAGCAAGCUGGUUCCACUAAGAAUUCUCUAGGAAUUCUCAUUCCUGCUAUAGGAUUAUCAGAGUUUGGUCAUGCCCACCUGUUAUCGUUCUCAAAUGACAGUCGAGGUAUGUAUAAAAUGUAAAGCAUUUAUUUAUGUGAAAUAACAAAAAUCCAGUU